CCUACGGGAGGCAGCAGUAGGGAAUCUUUCACAAUGGGCGAAAGCCUGAUGGAGCAACGCCGCGUGCAGGAUGAAGGCCUUCGGGUUGUAAACUGCUUUUAUAAGCGAGAAAUAUGUUGGUCACUUAUGAAUAAGGAACGGCUAACGACUUGCCAGCACCCGCGGUCAUACGUAGGAUCCGAGCAUUAUCCGGAGUAACUGAGUGUAAAGAGUUGCGUAAAUGUCAUAUGAAUUAGCUAGUGAAAUCUCCUGGCUCAACAACUCAGACCAUUGGCUAAACUGGUAAGCUCGAGAUGGAUAGGGGUAAGCGGAAUUUCAAGUGUAGGAGUGAAAUGCGUAGAUAUUAGGAAGAACACCAAUAGCGUAGGCAGGUUACUGGGACGGUUCUGACACUGAGGCACGAAAGCGUAGGGAGCAAACGGGAUUAGAUACCCCAGUAGUC
rnacentral:rRNA from 1 species